rnacentral:rRNA from 1 species
UGAGUAAUGUCUGGGAAACUGCCUGAUGGAGGGGGAUAACUACUGGAAACGGUAGCUAAUACCGCAUAACGUCGCAAGACCAAAGAGGGGGACCUUCGGGCCUCUUGCCAUCAGAUGUGCCCAGAUGGGAUUAGCUAGUAGGUGGGGUAAUGGCUCACCUAGGCGACGAUCCCUAGCUGGUCUGAGAGGAUGACCAGCCACACUGGAACUGAGACACGGUCCAGACUCCUACGGGAGGCAGCAGUGGGGAAUAUUGCACAAUGGGCGCAAGCCUGAUGCAGCCAUGCCGCGUGUAUGAAGAAGGCCUUCGGGUUGUAAAGUACUUUCAGCGAGGAGGAAGGCAUUGAGGUUAAUAACCUCAGUGAUUGACGUUACUCGCAGAAGAAGCACCGGCUAACUCCGUGCCAGCAGCCGCGGUAAUACGGAGGGUGCAAGCGUUAAUCGGAAUUACUGGGCGUAAAGCGCACGCAGGCGGUCUGUCAAGUCGGAUGUGAAAUCCCCGGG